rnacentral:tRNA from 1 species
GCCCGGGUGGUGAAAUCGGUAGACACAAGGGAUUUAAAAUCCCUCGGCCUUUGGGCCGUGCGAGUUCAAGUCUCGCCCCGGGCA